rnacentral:rRNA from 1 species
AGAGUUUGAUCAUGGCUCAGAAUGAACGCUGGCGGCGUGCUUAACACAUGCAAGUCGAACGAGAAAGCUCCUGCUUGCAGGAGUGAUUAGAGUGGCGCACGGGUGAGUAACGCGUGGAUAAUCUACCUUUGAAUUUGGGAUAACAUUGCGAAAGCGGUGCUAAUACCGGAUAAAAUAAAAUAGACUUAGGUUUAUAUUAUCAAAGAUGGCCUCUGCUUGCAAGCUAUUGUUUGAAGAUGAGUCCGCGUACCAUUAGCUAGUUGGUAGGGUAAAGGCUUACCAAGGCGACGAUGGUUAGCUGGUCUGAGAGGAUGAUCAGCCACACUGGAACUGGAACACGGUCCAGACUCCUACGGGAGGCAGCAGUGAGGAAUUUUGCGCAAUGGGGGCAACCCUGACGCAGCAACGCCGCGUGAGUGAUGAAGGCUUUUGGGUCGUAAAGCUCUGUCAAUGGGAAAGAAGUUACAUAUGGUAAAUACCUGUAUGUAUUGACGGUACCCAUGAAGGAAGCACCGGCUAACUCCGUGCCAGCAGCCGCGGUAACACGGGGGGUGCAAGCGUUAUUCGGAAUUAUUGGGCGUAAAGGGCGCGCAGGCGGUAUACCAGGUCAGAUGUGAAAGCCCGGGGCUCAACCCCGGAAGAGCAUUUGAAACCGUUAUACUUGAGUAUGGUAGAGGGAAGUGGAAUUCCUGGUGUAGAGGUGAAAUUCGUAGAUAUCAGGAGGAACAUCGGUGGCGAAGGCGACUUCCUGGGCCGAUACUGACGCUGAGGCGCGAAGGCGUGGGGAGCAAACAGGAUUAGAUACCCUAGUAGUCCACGCAGUAAACGUUGAUCACUAGGUGUAGCGGGUAUUGACCCCUGCUGUGCCGAAGCAAACGCAUUAAGUGAUCCGCCUGGGGAGUACGAUCGCAAGAUUAAAACUCAAAGGAAUUGACGGGGGCCCGCACAAGCGGUGGAGCAUGUGGUUUAAUUCGACGCAACGCGAAGAACCUUACCUGGGUUUGACAUCCUGAGAAAGGCUAUGAAAGUAGCAAAUGCCCUUCGGGGAGCUCAGAGACAGGUGCUGCAUGGCUGUCGUCAGCUCGUGUCGUGAGAUGUUGGGUUAAGUCCCGCAACGAGCGCAACCCCUAUCUUUAGUUACCAUCAUUAAGUUGGGGACUCUAGAGAUACUGCCCCGGUUAACGGGGAGGAAGGUGGGGAUGACGUCAAGUCCUCAUGGCCCUUAUAUCCAGGGCUACACACGUGCUACAAUGGUAUGUACAAAGAGAAGCGAAGUUGUGAAGCCAAGCCAAUCUCAAAAAGCAUAUCUCAGUUCGGAUUGGAGUCUGCAACUCGACUCCAUGAAGUUGGAAUCGCUAGUAAUCGUAGAUCAGCAUGCUACGGUGAAUACGUUCCCGGGCCUUGUACACACCGCCCGUCACACCAUGAGAGUUGACUGUACCAGAAGUCGUUGGGGUAACCUUCGGGGGCCAGGCGCCUAAGGUAUGGUUGAUAAUUGGGGUGAAGUCGUAACAAGGUA